CCGGACGCCCGCCCACAAGAGCAGGGUUACCCGACACCUGCGCGACAGUGGAGAUUUUACUACUUCGUAUUUUAAUCUGCAGCGAGGAAGGCGUUUCCAUUCAAGGACAGGGUCCGGAGCUCGUCGGCCACAGAGGCAGAACAGCCUCCGAGCACGAGAUCCAGAGAAAAGAAGUUAAUUGCUUAAGAUCCAUCAAGUUAAUGGCAGAACUACCUCCCACCUGUAGACUCCAGGCCCGAGGCAGAAUCACCCUACGGCCCUAUGGAGCCAUUAAGCCGAAUCUGACCACUUUCCACUCUCGUGAGUUUGCAGGCUGGAGAGAGAAGCUCUCACCCUACAUCCCAGGUUCCCAGGACCAGGACUCACCUGAGCG